GUGGGGAAUAUUGGACAAUGGGCGCAAGCCUGAUCCAGCCAUGCCGCGUGAGUGAUGAAGGCCCUAGGGUUGUAAAGCUUUUUCACCGGAGAAGAUAAUGACGGUAUCCGGAGAAGAAGCCCCGGCUAACUUCGUGCCAGCAGCCGCGGUAAUACGAAGGGGGCUAGCGUUGUUCGGAAUUACUGGGCGUAAAGCGCACGUAGGCGGACAUUUAAGUCAGGGGUGAAAGCCCGGGGCUCAACCCCGGAACUGCCUUUGAUACAUGGUGUCUGGAGUAUGGAAGAGGUAAGUGGAAGUCCGAGUGUAGAGGUGAAAUUCGUAGAUAUUCGGAGGAACACCAGGGGCGAAGGCGGCUUACUGGUCCAUUACUGACGCUGAGUUGCGAAAGCGUGGGGAGCAAACAGGAUUAGAUACCCCGGUAGUCC
rnacentral:rRNA from 1 species